rnacentral:lncRNA from 1 species
CAAAGAAUCCUUAAGAAAGAACGCUGAAAGCUGAAAAUGUAAAUAUUCGAUUUUUAAAUUAAUUUUCCUUAGUCCACAUCAUUUGGCUCCUCUAAAAUUUCUCUCAGCAGCAACAAAGUAGUCUUGCCUGUCUUUCCAAGCAAUCAUGAAAUGAAAGAAGAUUUAAUGAUGAAAUGACAAAUGCUGAGUCCAACCUAAACAAAAACACAAUUUUUAUAAUACCUACCUAAAUUACAUAUUUUUUUUUGAAAGUACCGGAAGAGAUUGAUAAAUACUUUUAUAAAUACUUUAAGAAAAAAAAAUUACUCAUGUGCGCUCAUAUAUGCUAGCAUAUAUGAGUGCUAUUCCCACCUUUUUUCAGAAAAACAAAUCUAUAUAUGGAACAAGAAAUAGAUUUUCUUUCAAUCAUUAUUUGUUUGCUUUUAGGUACAUUUUUUCUCAAGUAUUCGAACCGUGCACAAGCCAGAAAAUACUAUUCAACUCUUGUGUCUAAAUCCAGUUCAUAAAUUUAUUGAUGGCAAGAGUUGUCUGCUCUUCUCCUAUGGAACAACAAAUGCUGGAAAAACCCACACCAUACACGGCUCAAAACAAGAUCCAGGCAUCAUCCCACGUGUUCUGAGCAUAUUAUUCAAGAGCAUCAAACGAAAACAGUGCAAUGAAAUUCAGGGAUUCAUUCAGGCCAGAGUAUGGUAAUUCAAUUAGAGAAUUAAAAGAAGACGAAAUUAGAGAGCAAAUCGCCCUAAAGGAAAACUUCUCAAUUUGCCCAUGAUUCAAGUGGGGUGGACCUUUUUCAGUCUGCCAUGACUCACCAAACCGAUAAUUCCUCAUUUACACACAUCUCUCAAGCCCCUAGCGAAUUCAGUCAGAUGGAAGAGCUCAUCGAUGAAGAAACUGUGUCUGUGGAAAAUCAAGGGAAUGUUCUCUAUUCUGUUUGGUAUCAUUCCUGGAAGUCUACAACGAACAAGUGUAUGAUCUACUAGUACCACAGUCAUCAUCAGAUAAGCGAGUCCCUCUGAAAGUCGCGACAGAUAAUAGCCGUAAUGUAUUCGUCAAAGGUAUAUUACAGUUUUUUUAUAGUCUGCCAUAGGCUAACAUUAAGUAAUUCUUGAUGGAGGAUUGAGUCCUUGGGUGCCUCAAAUCUUCACCCUGCUUGUCAGUUUCCUGCGAAUUUUUAACCACCAUCAGGCGUGUGAAAAUAAACAUCACUUUUGAAAUCUGCUGUCUCUCUCUCCCUUCCCCUUCCAUUUUUGUUGGGGCUUCGGCCUCUAAUGUUCCAUCCUAAAUUUGUCCCUAUUUAUCUUUCCAUUAUGAUGGAAGCAGCAUCUGGGUUCAGCGAUACGGUAUCCUUUUCGCAGCGUCUCUACCAUUACUCAACAACCUCCACUCUGAAGAAGUGCCCCUAACAUGAACUAUCCAAAUCAGCGGGCCGAUUAUUGAAACUCAUAGACAAAGCUAUAGACAAAGACGACAAAAAGGAUUUGGAGGGAUCCUAUUGGUGGAAGCGGGUGGUGGCAAUGGACAUAGGAGGUAGGUAAUGGACUAACUAAUGGCAACCCGCUAAAGACCCGAUACUUAGUCCAGCAUUUUGCCCCUUAGUCUACAGGAACCACCCAUUUCAACCAAUAGGAUCGCUCCAUACUCCCUAUGUCUUCUUAGUCUAUCGCUUUGUCCAUGAGUUUCAAUAAUCGGCCCGCAGAAUAGUAUAAUGCUUGCAAUACAUUUGAGACCACCUCUGAGGUGCACUGUACAGGACAUACCGACCAAAGUAUCUGCGAACGGCCCCCUCACUUUUGUUUGUUUAGAAGGGUCAUUUGUCUUACUUUUCAAUGGUCUCUCUGUACUUCUAACGUAGGUGGGCUGAGGAUACUGUAAUUGCUAUUUACUUUAUUCAUUAUUAAAUUUUUAGAAUGCGUUAUUUGUAUAUUAAUUUUUUGGCAGAGGAACUGAUUGUCAUCAUGACCAGGUGCAGAAAAAAAGUAAAAUUCUCGAAAAACUAUAACUAACCGGUUUGCUUAACCAAACCUCCCAAGUUGGGGUUUAACUCAAGUCCUUAAUGUAAUUUUA